rnacentral:rRNA from 1 species
GACGAACGCUGGCGGCGUGCCUAACACAUGCAAGUCGAGCGGGGUUGAAGCGAGGGGUAACUCAAGCUUCUACCUAGCGGCGGACGGGUGAGUAACGCGUGGGCAACCUGCCUCAAGGUCUGGGAUAACAGCUCGAAAGGGCUGCUAAUACCGGAUAUGCCUAUGGCCUCGCAUGGGGCUAUGAGCAAAGGGGAAACCUGCCUUGAGAUGGGCCCGCGUCCCAUCAGCUAGUUGGUGAGGUAACAGCUCACCAAGGCGACGACGGGUAGCCGGCCUGAGAGGGUGACCGGCCACACUGGGACUGAGACACGGCCCAGACUCCUACGGGGGGCAGCAGUGGGGGAUCUUGCACAAUGGGCGAAAGCCUGAUGCAGCGACGCCGCGUGAGCGAAGAAGGCCUUCGGUUGUAAAGCUCUGUCUGGAGGGACGAAGGAAGUGACGGUACCGUCCGGAGGAAGCCACGGCUAACUACGUGCCAGCAGCCGCGGUAAUAGUCACG